UACGGAGGGUGCGAGCGUUAAUCGGAAUUACUGGGCGUAAAGGGCGCGUAGGCGGUGAAGUCAGUCGGGUGUGAAAGCCCCGGGCGUCAACCUACGGGAACGUAGCAUCCGACUACUGCUUCGCUAGAGUAUGGUAGAGGAAGCGGAUCGGUGUAGCGGUGAAAUGCGUAGAUAUCUGGAGGAACACCGGUGGCGAAGGCGGCAUCCUGGACCGGCAUUGACGCUGAGGCGCGAAAGCUAGGGGAGCAAACGGGAUUAGAACCGA
rnacentral:rRNA from 1 species